rnacentral:rRNA from 1 species
UACAGAGGUCUCGAGCGUUAGGCGGAAUCACUGGGCUUAAAGCGUGUGUAGGUGGAUCGGUAAGUACCUUGUGAAAUCCCACGGCUUAACCGUGGAACUGCUUGGUAUACUGCCAGUCUUGAGCCAGCUAGGGGCUACCGGAACAAAUGGUGGAGCGGUGAAAUGCGUAGAUAUUCGGAAGAACACCAGUGGCGAAGGCGGCUCACUGGCCCGGUACUGACGCUGAGGUGCGAAAGCGUGGGGAGCAAACAGG